rnacentral:rRNA from 1 species
GCAAGUCUCAUGUGAAAUUCCGGAGCUCAACUCCGGAGCUGCAUGGGAAACUGCAUGUCUAUAGAGGGAUGGCGGAGAAAAUGGAAUCCAGGUGUAGCGGUGAAAUGCGUAAAUAUGUGGAAGAACACCAGUGGCGAAAGCGGUUUUCUAGCUAUUUCCUGACGCUGAGGCGCGAGAGCAUGGGGAGCAAACAGGAUUAGAUACCCUGGUAGUCCAUGCCGUAAACGUUGUAUACUUGAUGGAGUUGGGCUCAACCCCGACUGUGUCGAAGCUAACGCGAUAAGUAUACCGCCUGAGGAGUACGCUCGCAAGGGUGAAACUCAAAAGAAUUGACGGGGGCCCGCACAAGCAGUGGAGAAUGUGGUUUAAUUCGAUACAACGCGAAGAACCUUACCCAGGUUUGAAAUACAGAGGACAGCUACAGAAAUGUAGUCUCCCGCAAGGGUCUUUGUACAGGUGCUGCAUGGCUGUCGUCAGCUCGUGCCGUGAGGUGUUGGGUUAAGUCCCGCAACGAGCGCAACCCUUAUCAUUAGUUGCCAGCACGCGAGGUGGGAACUCUAAUGAGACUGCCCGGGUUAACCGGGAGGAAGGUGAGGAUGACGUCAAGUCCGCAUGGCCUUUAUACCUGGGGCUACACACGUUCUACAAUGGUCGGUACAGAAGGCAGCGAAGCCGCAAGGUGGAGCAAAUCCGCUAAAGCCGAUCUCAGUUCGGAUUGUAGUCUGCAACUCGGCUACAUG